rnacentral:rRNA from 1 species
CCUACGGGAGGCAGCAGUGGGGAAUAUUGCGCAAUGGGCGAAAGCCUGACGCAGCGACGCCGCGUGAGGGAUGAAGGUCUUCGGAUCGUAAACCUCUGUCAGCAGGGAAGAACGGUCACUGUGCUAAUCAGCAGUGAAUUGACGGUACCUGCAAAGGAAGCACCGGCUAACUCCGUGCCAGCAGCCGCGGUAAUACGGAGGGUGCGAGCGUUAAUCGGAAUUACGGGGGGUAAAGCGCUCGUAGGCGGUAUGUCAAGGCAAGGGUGAAAUCCCCGCGCUCAACGUGGGAACGGCCUUUGACACUGUCACACUGGCGUGUGUGAGAGGUUAGUGGCAUUCCAGGUGU